UGCAGUCGAACGAACCUUCGGGUGAGUGGCGGACGGGUGAGUAACGCGUGGGAAUCUGCCCUCAGGAGGGGGAUAACGGCUGGAAACGGCCGCUAAUACCCCAUAUGCCGAGAGGUGAAAUGAAUUUCGCCUGAGGAUGAGCCCGCGUCUGAUUAGCUAGUUGGUGAGGUAAGAGCUCACCAAGGCAUCGAUCAGUAGCUGGUCUGAGAGGAUGAUCAGCCACACUGGGACUGAGACACGGCCCAGACUCCUACGGGAGGCAGCAGUGGGGAAUUUUCCGCAAUGGGCGAAAGCCUGACGGAGCAACGCCGCGUGAGGGAUGAAGGCCUCUGGGCUGUAAACCUCUUUUCUCAAGGAAGAAGAUCUGACGGUACUUGAGGAAUAAGCCACGGCUAAUUCCGUGCCAGCAGCCGCGGUAAUACGGGAGUGGCAAGCGUUAUCCGGAAUUAUUGGGCGUAAAGCGUCCGCAGGCGGCCCUUCAAGUCUGCUGUUAAAACGUGGAGCUUAACUCCAUCAUGGCAGUGGAAACUGUUGGGCUUGAGUGUGGUAGGGGCAGAGGGAAUUCCCGGUGUAGCGGUGAAAUGCGUAGAUAUCGGGAAGAACACCAGUAGCGAAGGCGCUCUGCUGGGCCAUAACUGACGCUCAUGGACGAAAGCCAGGGGAGCGAAAGGGAUUAGAUACCCCUGUAGUCCUGGCCGUAAACGAUGAACACUAGGUGUCGGGGGGAAUCGACCCCCUCGGUGUCGUAGCCAACGCGUUAAGUGUUCCGCCUGGGGAGUACGCACGCAAGUGUGAAACUCAAAGGAAUUUGACGGGGGCCCGCACAAGCGGUGGGAGUAUAUGGUGGUUUAAUUCGAUGCAACGCGAAGAACCUUACCAGGGUUUGACAUCCUGCGAAUCUCUUGGAAACGAGAGAGUGCCUUCGGGAGCGCAGUGACAGGUGGUGCAUGGCUGUCGUCAGCUC
rnacentral:rRNA from 1 species